UACGAAAGGGGCGAGCAUUAUCCGGAUUUACUGGGCGUAAAGAGCACGUAGGCGGUAGCCUAAGUCAGAUGUUAAAGUCCACAGCUCAACUGUGGCCUGCAUUUGAAACUAGACUACUAGAGAUCAGGAGAGGCAAGCGGAACUCACAGUGUAGCGGUGAAAUGCGUAGAUAUUGUGAGGAACACCAGUUGCGAAGGCGGCUUGCUAGACUGAAUCUGACGUUGAGGUGCGAAAGCGUGGGUAGCGAACGGG
rnacentral:rRNA from 1 species